UGGGGAAUUUUGGACAAUGGGGGAAACCCUGAUCCAGCCAUCCCGCGUGUGCGAUGAAGGCCUUCGGGUUGUAAAGCACUUUUGGCAGGAAAGAAACGUCAUGGGUUAAUACCCCGUGAAACUGACGGUACCUGCAGAAUAAGCACCGGCUAACUACGUGCCAGCAGCCGCGGUAAUACGUAGGGUGCAAGCGUUAAUCGGAAUUACUGGGCGUAAAGCGUGCGCAGGCGGUUCGGAAAGAAAGAUGUGAAAUCCCAGAGCUCAACUUUGGAACUGCAUUUUUAACUACCGGGCUAGAGUGUGUCAGAGGGAGGUGGAAUUACGCGUGUAGCAGUGAGAUGCGUAGAUCUGCGGAGGAACACCGAUGGCGAAGGCAGCCUCCUGGGAUAACACUGACGCUCAUGCACGAAAGCGUGGGGAGCAAACAGG
rnacentral:rRNA from 1 species